GCUGCUGCUGCAGCGGCGCCUCCUCCCGCCCGCUCCGCGCCCUGGCGAGGCUCCAGGGCCGUGGGACCGACCUCGAGGCCCGCAGGGAGAGGCCGCUCCGGGCGUCUGGGGGACGCGGCGCAGGAGCGAGGCGCCCGGUCCCUGAAGCCCGCUGGGUCCUCCGGGAGGCCAGUGUCCGGGACCAGGGCGCCCGCCAAGCCGGCCCCCCUGCAGGAAAGCUGAGGACGCAUUCAGCACGGAAAGCAGGCUGAGGCGGGCACGCACUCAGCCCGGUAGCCUGCUCUUACCCGGGAGUGACCCCGCUCUUGACCGUCUCUGCCCAGGGGACCCCAGGGCACCCACGGAAAACACGGUCAGCCGUGGGGCCCCCGAGGGUCUUCCGUGUCGGCGGAGACAGCUGAUGGGUGACAGCGUCCUGAGCCCCAGGUGCAGGACGCCUUUUAACUUCACGGCCACGCCCCUGCCACAAGGUCAAAAAGCUGGGUGUCUCCAGGGGACGUCUCUCCCUGUGUCUCCGCAUAAGGAGACCCGUUGCAACAAAGCUCAGAGGAAAUCGUUUUCAACUAUAAAGCAGGAAGAAAUUUCUAGACUUACGCAUUAUCUGAAAUCAACACAAGCAAGUUCGUCUGCUGUGCCCGACCACGUUUCAAGAGACGCGCAAGAAGAGAAAGGAGAGUUGCGCUGUGCACGCAGGAACACCGGGACGACACCAGGGUGUGGAGGCGGAUUUACUUACACGGACAGCACUGAUCCGGAUCAGCCCCGGAGGACCAGGCCCCUAUCGCUGGUGGUCUGGGGCUUUCAUGGGACCAACCAGUGCAGGGGCCGCACGGCUUGUCAGCUGGGGACUGGUUUAUACAACGUGCAUCACAGUGACCACAAGAGACGGGAGCAACCGGAACUGGAACGGGCACUAUCACCCAGGCAACUAUGAAACUAAAGUAUAGCGGUGUGUGUGAGGGUGCAUCUUCUCUUACAAUACUCAUCUGAAAAGCUGUGAGGAAUUCUGACAUUGAAUAGGAGGAGGUUGUAUUACAUAAUCUCUAUAUUGUCUUUCUCAGCAGCAAAACUUCAUGUUUCUGAUCCCUGACCAGAGCAUCCCACGAAGCUGUACCACGCAUCACUGUCUGCCCAGCAGACGAUCACUCACUGUGCUCCUUUCCUCUGCUUAGGCGGUGGAAAAGGUGUUCUCCAAGACCACUGAACAGCUACUGCACGAUGCUCAUCAGAGCAGCUCUGUUUCUGCUUUAUGGUUUUGUGUUCAUUUUCAUUUUAUCAUCCAUUCCCUCUAUUCUUUCCCUUCAUUCCUUUGCUCUAUCUCAUCCCGUGUCCUUACACUGCGUCUCUCUUGGCUCUUCUCACCCUUCUGUCCUUCCCCUGCCUUCCUCCUCACCGCUCUGCCCUCCGUCCCUGCUGCUGCACUGGCCUUGCUCAGACAAGGCUUGCUGGAGGAGGUGCCAUGCAGUGUGCUGGAGCAAUUAGUCACCGGAGAAGGAAAGGAGAUACUCUGCGGCCUCUUUUGGCAAAGGUGACUCCUCAAGGCCCCCUCCCGCCAGGUCCCUACCCCUGUUAAAUAUUGAUGAUGCCACAUUGGCUGUCUGCGAAAGCAGCUGUGGCUAGAACUUUGCAGAGAAGGGGAGCUGCAGGUUCUGCAGCAGGUAAGAGACAUCUUUUUCUUCUAUCUGUUACUUGCUCCACCUUCAAGCUUGCCAAGGACAGAAACACCCACACGCAUGCCAGUAGAUUUACCGUCCAGAGAGAAGCUCUGCUUCCUGGAGCUGUACAUUUUCUAAUGUUUGUCAGCAGGUGCGUAAGCAUCUCUGGCAGCAGGUGGGAAGGCCAGCCCUGCUCAGUAGAGGGACACAUGUGCAGUCAAGGUUCUAGGCACUAACGCCUCAGUGCUUCUGAGUUAAAGAAAUAAAAUUCAUUUGGGGCUGGAGCUUUGCUUCCAGAUGUUGCUUGUUCACACCACAGUUUGAUGAACUGUGUCUGUAGCUACCUUCAUCCCUCUUUGGUGCUGCCCAGAAUAAGGGUGGUGCCGUCCGAGUUACAGUGUGAAGUCCUUGAGAAUUGUGAAACAGCUGAACACUUAAGUAUGGACCACUUAAUUAUGUGCCACAUGUAAUUUCAGGGCAGCUCUGUUUACAGUGGGACUUUAUUUUUAAAAAGCUUAUAUUUCAGAGUGGGAGGCAAUGCAAAUUAUUUUAGGCCUUGUAAUGAAC
rnacentral:lncRNA from 1 species